rnacentral:rRNA from 1 species
CCUACGGGAGGCAGCAGUGAGGAAUAUUGGUCAAUGGACGAGAGCCUGAACCAGCCAAGUAGCGUGAAGGAUGACUGCCCUACGGGUUGUAAACUUCUUUUAUAAGGGAAUAAAGUAAGGCACGUAUGCCUUUUUGUAUGUACUUUAUGAAUAAGGAUCGGCUAACUCCGUGCCAGCAGCCGCGGUAAUACGGAGGAUCCGAGCGUUAUCCGGAUUUAUUGGGUUUAAAGGGAGCGUAGAUGGUUUGUUAAGUCAGUUGUGAAAGUUUGCGGCUCAACCGUAAAAUUGCAGUUGAUACUGGCAGUCUUGAGUACAGUAGAGGUAGGCGGAAUUCGUGGUGUAGCGGUGAAAUGCUUAGAUAUCACGAAGAACUCCGAUUGCGAAGGCAGCUCACUAAACUGCAACUGACACUGAUGCUCGAAAGUGUGGGUAUCAAACAGGAUUAGAUACCCCAGUAGUC